rnacentral:tRNA from 1 species
CCUCCGCUAGCUCAGUGGUAGAGCACUUGACUUUUAAUCACGGGGUCGAGGGUUCGAGUCCCUCGCGGGGGACCA